rnacentral:rRNA from 1 species
GACGAACGCUGGCGGCGUGCUUAACACAUGCAAGUCGAACGCUGAAGCCCUUUCGGGGGUGGAUGAGUGGCGAACGGGUGAGUAACACGUGGGUAAUCUGCCCUGCACUCCGGGAUAAGCCUUGGAAACGGGGUCUAAUACCGGAUAGGACACAUCACCGCAUGGUGUGUGUGUGGAAAGUUCCGGCGGUGCAGGUUGAGCCCGCGGCCUAUCAGCUUGUUGGUGGGGGGAUGGCCUACCAAGGCGACGACGGGUAGCCGGCCUGAGAGGGUGGCCGGCCACGCUGGGACUGAGACACGGCCCAGACUCCUACGGGAGGCAGCAGUGGGGAAUCUUCCGCAAUGGGCGCAAGCCUGACGGAGCAAUGCCGCGUGCAGGAUGAAGGCCUUCGGGUUGUAAACUGCUGUCACAGGGGAUGAACGCAAUGACAGUACCCUGGGAGGAAGCCACGGCUAACUACGUGCCAGCCGCCGCAGUAA